GUGCUCGCAUCAUCAGCACAUAUGCUGAACUUAGAAUGAUACAGAGAAGAUGAUCAUGGUCCCUGCACAAGGAUGACUGGCAAAUUCGUGAAGUGUCCCAUAUUUUG
ensembl:snRNA U6 U6 spliceosomal RNA